UAGGGAAUAUUGGACAAUGGGGGCAACCCUGAUCCAGCCAUGCCGCGUGAGUGAAGAAGGCCCUCGGGUUGUAAAGCUCUUUUGUCCGGAAAGAAAAGCAUUCGGUGAAUACCCGGAUGUUCUGACGGUACCGGAAGAAUAAGCACCGGCUAACUUCGUGCCAGCAGCCGCGGUAAUACGAAGGGUGCAAGCGUUACUCGGAAUUACUGGGCGUAAAGCGUGCGUAGGUGGUUGUUUAAGUCUGAUGUGAAAGCCCUGGGCUCAACCUGGGAAUGGCAAUGGAAACUGGGCAGCUAGAGUGCGGUAGAGGGUAGUGGAAUUCCCGGUGUAGCAGUGAAAUGCGUAGAGAUCGGGAGGAACAUCUGUGGCGAAGGCAGCCCCCUGAGCCUGUACUGACGCUCAUGCACGAAAGCGUGGGGAGCAAACA
rnacentral:rRNA from 1 species